AUUCUGCAGUGAUGAAUUCUGGAUAAAUUUCACAUGUCAGACUUCAGAGAUUUCACAAUCAAUGAGAAUUAAAAUUCUAGUUUUCUGAGCAGAAU
rfam:Prunus persica cultivar Lovell chromosome G3, whole genome shotgun sequence.